rnacentral:rRNA from 1 species
UACGUAGGGUGCGAGCGUUGUCCCGGAUUUAUUGGGCGUAAAGGGCGCGUAGGCGGCCACGCACGUCCGUUGUGAAAUCGCCCGGCUCAACUGGGCGGGGUCAGCGGAUACGGUGUGGCUCGAGCAAGCUAGGGGGCAAUGGAAUUCCCGGUGUAGUGGUGGAAUGCGUAGAUAUCGGGGAGGAACACCAGUGGGCGAAGGCGGUUGCCUGG